CUCAACCCAGGCUGUGCUGUCAAGGAUCUGGGGUCGGAUGUAGUGCCAAGGCCGGGGGCACAGGAUCUGCAGUCAUCAGUCACCCCUGAGAGCUCUAUCGCUGCAUCUGUGUGGUGCUUUCAGCUCGGAGUUCUCUCUGCUGCUUCCUCUCCAGGCGUGGGACACAGGGGUCUCUGGAGCACACCUGUACUCUCCCAGUGUUGAUGGCCUGUUUUAACCAAGCCUUGAAGAUGUUCACUCGGCCACCAGCUCCCUGCUGGAUCAGCUUGUUGGUGCCGGAGCCGGGGAGGUGGUCCAGGGAGAAGGUUUCAGAGAUGCCUCCAGAGAAUAAAGCCACCAUGCUGCAGACCAGCGUUAUUCCUAUCCAAUGCCAAGGAGCGAUUUCUUAUUACCUGGCGUUUGAACUUUCUGGAAAGAUGAAUGUUCACAUUCCCUAGUUGUCUGAUCAUGAUGAGCUAGAGCUUAGAUUUCUAACCAGGUGGUCUCUUGGGAUGGGAAGGAUUCCACCAAACUGGGUUCUCACUGGGUCUGAGUAAAACUAGUCUCGGGAGUGGAAGUGUUGACAGCUGGAUUCCUCAUCCAGCAUCCCGGUGACACCAGCCUCUGCUCAACUGCCUCCACGUGAUGGGAAACUUAUUACUUCCAGGACAGUCCAUUUUGGCUAGAGAUCAUUUUGACUACAAGCCUUUUUUCCCUAAUAAAAGCUAUCUUUAAACCAAAUA